rnacentral:misc_RNA from 1 species
CGUUCCUUACCAUGCAAGUCGAACGAACCUUCGGGUUAGUGGCGGACGGGUGAGUAACUCGUGAGAAUCUGCCCUCAGGAGGGGGAUAACGGUUGGAAACGACCGCUAAUACCCCAUAUGCCGAGAGGUGAAAAGAAAUUCGCCUGAGGAUGAGCUCGCGUCUGAUUAGCUAGUUAGUGUGGUAAUGGCGCACCAAGGCUUCCAUCAGUAGCUGGUCUGAGAGGAUGAUCCAGCACACCUGGGACUGAGACACGGGCCAAACUCCUUACGGAAGCAGCCAGGGGGAUCU